CAUGCCCCAACAGGUGUUGCAGCUCUGGCUGAUGUGCCGCAGUUGUGUCAGUAGGUGGCAGAAAGGAACAGACUAUGUCUAUGCUCAGUGUUCUGCAACCAUGAGCAUUCAGAAUGAUUAGUAGCCUGACAGG
rnacentral:snoRNA from 1 species